ensembl:lncRNA
GAGGAAGAGAUAGAGAGAGGUGAAAAAGAAAAGGAGCGGGACAGGGAAAGGAGUGAGUAUGCCAGAGAGAGAGAGCUAAAGACAUAGAGAGGUAAAGAGAGAGAGAGGUAAAGAGAGAGAGAGGUAAAGAUAGAGAGAGGUAAAGAGAGAGAGAGAGCUAAAGAGAGGGAGAGGUAAAGAGAGAGAUAAAGAGAGGGAGAGGUAAAGAGAGAGCUAAAGGGAGGGAGAGGUAAAGAGAGAGAGAGAGAGAGAUAAAGAGAGAGCUAAAGAGAGGGAGAGGUAAAGAGAGAGCUAAAGAGAGGGAGAGGUAAAGAGAGAGAUAGGUAAAGAGAGG